rnacentral:rRNA from 1 species
UACGAAGGGGGCUAGCGUUGCUCGGAUUGACUGGGCGUAAAGCGCACGUAGGCGGAUCUUUAAGUCAGGGGUGAAAUCCUGGAGCUCAACUCCAGAACUGCCUUUGAUACUGGGGAUCUCGAGUCCGGAAGAGGUGAGUGGAACUCCGAGUGUAGAGGUGAAAUUCGUAGAUAUUCGGAAGAACACCAGUGGCGAAGGCGGCUCACUGGACCGGUAUUGACGCUGAUGUGCGAAAGCGUGGGGAGCAAACAGG